AUUGAACGCUGGCGGCAGGCCUAACACAUGCAAGUCGAACGAGUGGCGGACGGGUGAGUAAUGUCUGGGAAACUGCCAGAGGGAGGGGGAUAACUACUGGAAACGGUAGCUAAUACCGCAUACCAUCGGAUGUGCCCAGAUGGGAUGAGAUUGUGGGUGGGGUAAAGGCGCACCUAGGCGACGAUCCCUAGCUGGUCUGAGAGGAUGACCAGCACCACUGGACCUUGGACACGGUCCAGACUCCUACGGGAGGCAGCAGUGGGGAAUAUUGCACAAUGGGCGCAAGCCUGAUGCAGCAAUGCCGCGUGUAUGAAGAAGGCCUUCGGGUUGUAAAGGACUUUCAGCGGGGAGGCGUUACCCGCAGAAGAAGCACCGGCUAACUCCGUGCCAGCAGCCGCGGUAAUAC
rnacentral:rRNA from 1 species